CAGUUCGGAUUGAAGGCUGAAAUUCGCCUUCAUGAAGCUGGAAUUGCUAGUAAUGGCAGGUCAGCAUACUGCCGUGAAUACGUUCCCGGGCCUUGUACACACCGCCCGUCACACCAUGAGAGUUGGAAAUACCCGAAGCCUGUGAGCUAACUGUAAAGAGGCAGCAGUCGAAGGUAGAGCCAAUGAUUGGGGUGAAGUCGUAACAAGGUACC
rnacentral:rRNA from 1 species